rnacentral:rRNA from 1 species
AACGAACGCUGGCGGCAGGCCUAACACAUGCAAGUCGAGCGGACCUUUCGGGGUCAGCGGCGGACGGGUGAGUAACGCGUGGGAAUAUGCCCUUCUCUACGGAAUAGUCCUGGGAAACUGGGGGUAAUACCGGAUACGCCCUUUGGGGGAAAGAGUUAUCGGGGAAGGAUUAGCCCGCGUUGGAUUAGGUAGUUGGUGGGGUAAUGGCCUACCAAGCCGACGAGCCAUAGCUGGUUUGAGAGGAUGAUCAGCCACACUGGGACUGAGACACGGCCCAGACUCCUACGGGAGGCAGCAGUGGGGAAUCUUAGACAAUGGGGGCAACCCUGAUCUAGCCAUGCCGCGUGAGUGAUGAAGGCCUUAGGGUUGUAAAGCUCUUUCAGCUGGGAAGAUAAUGACGGUACCAGCAGAAGAAGCCCCGGCUAACUCCGUG